rnacentral:RNase_P_RNA from 1 species
CAUUAGACGAGCCUUAUCGCUUCGCAAGAAGAGGAAAGUCCGGACAGCAAAGGGUAGUAUGCUUCCUAACAGGAAGGCCAUGCGUAGCAUGGACAGCUAGUGCAACAGAGAGUAGACCGCCUUCGGGUAAGGGUGAAAGGGUGGGGUAAGAGCCCACCGCGGUUCAGGUGACUGAAUUGGCACGGUAAACCUCAUACGCUGAAAUGUCAUGUAUAUCGUGUUCCUUUAGGACCAGGCGACCCGCUUGGAGUUUACUGCACGAGGGGUAGGCAGAUGGAGCGCAUUCGUGAGGAUGCGCCUAGAUAAAUGAUAAGGAUCCGCAAGGGGACAGAAUCCGGCUUAUAUCGUCUAACGUUUG